CCAAGUUCCGUUGCUCUCGGGAUAAGAUGGAUAUCUCAGCUCUCCACAAGGCCCCAGCCCCACUUGAAUUUCCUGAAGAUUGCAUAACGGCUUAAAGAGGUCGUGUUAAGAUAGGUUCUUCAACUGCAAGGUUCAUAUGGAUGUUCAUUAUCAACGGAAGGGGUGCAUGAUGUUGUUCCAAUGCUUUUUAGAUUUCAAAGAAGUUAAUGAUAAUGAUCCAGGACUUAAAAUUAAUUUUAUAAAUAUGCUAGUUUUUUUCA